AACGAACGCUGGCGGCAUGCCUAACACAUGCAAGUCGAACGCGUGUAGCGAUACACGAGUGGCGGACGGGUGAGUAACGCGUGGGAACCUGCCCAAUGGUAGGGAAUAACUGCGGGAAACUGCAGCUAAUACCCUAUGCUCCCUACGGGGGAAGAUUCAUCGCCAUUGGAGGGGCCCGGCGUCGGAUUAGCUAGUUGGCGGGGUAAUGGCCCACCAAGGCUACAAUCCGUAGCUGGCUGAGAGGAUGAUCAGCCACACUGGGAC
rnacentral:rRNA from 1 species